rfam:Pteropus alecto contig55391, whole genome shotgun sequence.
GCCAUAUCAUAAAGAAUCAGUUUUAAAGUGCCUUCCUGCAGCUUUCCAGGAGCACCAGACCGAUC